rnacentral:rRNA from 1 species
GACGAACGCUGGCGGCGUGCUUAACACAUGCAAGUCGAACGGAAAGGCCCUGCUUUUGUGGGGUGCUCGAGUGGCGAACGGGUGAGUAACACGUGAGUAACCUGCCCUUGACUUUGGGAUAACUUCAGGAAACUGGGGCUAAUACCGGAUAGGAGCUCCUGCUGCAUGGUGGGGGUUGGAAAGUUUCGGCGGUUGGGGAUGGACUCGCGGCUUAUCAGCUUGUUGGUGGGGUAGUGGCUUACCAAGGCUUUGACGGGUAGCCGGCCUGAGAGGGUGACCGGCCACAUUGGGACUGAGGUACGGCCCAGACUCCUACGGGAGGCAGCAGUGGGGAAUAUUGCACAAUGGGCGGAAGCCUGAAGCAGCAACGCCGCGUGCGGGAUGACGGCCUUCGGGUUGUAAACCGCUUUCGCCUGUGACGAAGCGUGAGUGACGGUAAUGGGUAAAGAAGCACCGGCUAACUACGUG